rnacentral:lncRNA from 1 species
CGCAAAGGAUUAUGGUCUACUGGAAAGUCGAGAAUGGUUCGUAAAAAAGGACAUUUCGUCUGGCAUUCGGAAUUCCUACACUAGUGAUCCAUGAGGACUUUAUCCAGUUUCCAGAAUGGCAGGAAGGAAGGACUUAUUGAAUUAGACCACUUGACAAGGCAGCUUACAAAAGUCAGAAAUUUAAAAGCAGCCACUGGGCGACAGUAAAUUAAAGCUUGUCAACAUUUUCCGUAAAAUUUCCAAAAUAAAUACUGGAAAAAAAAAACAACAUGGAAAUACAUACGACAUCAACACAAAAUAGCACAGCACCAGAAUGAAUGCGGAAGUUGUCAUGAGUGGUGUGGCAUUGUUCCUGUUCAUUUAUGGUUUACAGAUUCCAAAAGUCUGAACCAGAUAUGAGUAGAGUACAGUUUGAGAAAUGUCUUGGUAGAACAGAUACUAAGGAAAUAAUAAAGAGCAGAACAGACCACAUUUCUCCUUAUAACUGGUAAAGUUCGAAGUAAGGGCGAGUACAAUAAUGCAGCCCCAGUGAGAGUUCGUGAUGAGGUGUCAACUGUAAAUGUGUGGUCGUUAAAUGAUGUGCAGUCAGAUUGACAAGUAUUUGAAGUAACAUUAAUUUAUAAAUUAUCAAUUCUGAGAGAAAUUUUUGCUGAGCUUUGUGCAGGAUACUCUUAAAAAAUACGUGAACCAGAAUUUUAUAUUAUAAGUACAAUGUCAGAUGUACUCCAGACUUCACACAUAUGUUGAUGUUUAUACAUAUGUGGUGAUUAAUUUGUCAAGUGAAGAAAUUUUAUGAAUAAUGUUAGUGGGUGACAGAACAGAAGUACAAAGUCAAUUACAGAGGUCGACAACACUGAGUUUAGGA